UAGGGAACGUGAGCUGGGUUUAGA
rnacentral:piRNA from 6 species